GACAGAGGGGGCAAGCGUUGCUCGGAAUCACUGGGCGUAAAGGGCGCGUAGGCGGGAUGGCAAGUCGGUCGUGAAAUCCUUCGGCUCAACCGAAGAACGUCGGCCGAUACUGCCGUUCGUUGAGGGAUGCAGAGGAGAUUGGAAUUCCGGUGUAGCGGUGAAAUGUGUAGAGAUCGGGAGGAACGACCGGUGGCCGAAGGCGGGUCUGAGC
rnacentral:rRNA from 1 species